UACGUAGGGGGCUAGCGUUAUCCGGAAUUACUGGGCGUAAAGGGUGCGUAGGUGGUUUCUUAAGUCAGAGGUGAAAGGCUACGGCUCAACCGUAGUAAGCCUUUGGAACUGGGAAACUUGAGUGCAGGAGAGGAGAGUGGAAUUCCUAGUGUAGCGGUGAAAUGCGUAGAUAUUAGGAGGAACACCAGUUGCGAAGGCGGCUCUCUGGACUGUAACUGACACUGAGGCACGAAAGCGUGGAGAGCAAACAGGAUUAGAUACCCUGGUAGUCCCUGA
rnacentral:rRNA from 1 species